rfam:Microdochium bolleyi strain J235TASD1 unplaced genomic scaffold Micbo1qcscaffold_9, whole genome shotgun sequence.
GGCGCGAUGGCAGAGUGGUCUAAUGCGAUAGACUAGAAAUCUAUUUCCUUCGGGAGCGCAGGUUCAAAUCCUGCUCGCGUCG